UACGGAGGGUGCAAGCGUUAUUCGGAUUUACUGGGCGUAAAGCGUGCGUAGGCGGUCCGCUAAGUCAGAUGUGAAAUCCCCGGGCUUAACCUGGGAACUGCAUUUGUGACUGGCGGGCUAGAGUAUGGCAGAGGGGGGUAGAAUUCCACGUGUAGCAGUGAAAUGCGUAGAGAUGUGGAGGAAUACCGAUGGCGAAGGCAGCCCCCUGGGCCAAUACUGACGCUCAUGCACGAAAGCGUGGGGAGCAAACAGG
rnacentral:rRNA from 1 species